GACGAACGCUGGCGGCGUGCUUAAUACAUGCAAGUUCAACGACUUUUAGAGUAGCAAUAUUUUAAAAGGAGUGGCGCACGGGUGAGUAACACGUAGGUAAUCUGCCUUCAGGACUGACACAACUCGUCGAAAGACGGGCUAAUAUCAGAUAAUGCAGCGGCUCCGCAUGGAGACAGUUGUUAAAGUACAAGCGCCUGAAGAUGAGCCUGCGGUCCAUUAGCUAGUUGGUAGAGUAACAGCCUACCAAGGCAACGAUGGAUAGCUGGUCUGAGAGGAUGAUCAGCCACACUGGAACUGAGACACGGUCCAGACUCCUACGGGAGGCAGCAGUAAGGAAUAUUGCUCAAUGGCCGAAAGGCUGAAGCAGCAACGCCGCGUGAAGGAUGAAUGGCUUGGCCUGUAAACUUCUGUAAAAA
rnacentral:rRNA from 1 species